UUGUGGUUAAAGUGAAUCAUUACACCCCAGCUAUUGAUUUACAACUGAUCUGCUGAGGUGACUGUGACCUGUAGUGCUGUUGAAAAUUUUCUUGUUACUGAUGGUGUUUGGAGACACUUGAGUUUUCUUUUGAUUAGAAGCUGUGAAAACAACGAGAUGACCAUAGAAGCAAAUGGGGAAACCUUAGAGCUGCGUUUUGUCCUGAAGGUGGCGCUGAAAAACUGAAAAGAAGAACAUCUUUGUAACUGAUCUUGUAGAAGAUUUGGAUUGCUGUAGAAAAGAAGACGGCGGUGUAUGUGAGGGCGGGGACACUCAUUAACGGUGUUCACCACCAGCUACUUUAUGUUAGGGGUGUGACAAAAUAUCGACAUUGCAAUAUAUUGUCAUGGCUGCACUCCUCCCUCAUCCACACAGUCUGUGGGGAGCUAAUCAGGGGAUGAGUGACACCUGUUUACCUCCCUUUAUUAGGAGCUGCUGCCCAGCAGUCUCUGUCAGUUUAUCUCAAACCUUCCUUGGGACGUCAACCCUGUUCAUGAGAACCUUUGGACCUGACCUGGGAAUCUGAGAAACUCCUGCACUGGAACUUUUAAACCCACCAGUCUUGCCCCAGCACCUUUACCUCCUGCCAUUUCCUCUUCCUACUCGAACAGCCUGAAGGACAUCCUCCUGCACCACCCUCAACGUCAGCCCUCUGCUGUGCACUCCCUCUACCUCCACGUUGGCUCCUUCUGUUGAUCACCGUUCAUGAGUUUUCACUGCCAAUGCCUGUGCGCCCCCUGCUGACCGAAGGCUGUCUCUCCAGAGUUCCUCGUCCUGCCUGAGCCAAAUAAACCCUUUAUUUAGUCA